UGGUCGAAGAAAAGAUGUGGAGCGGACUGCUGCCUCCUGGUCUAAAGGAGAGUGAUACUGAGUUGGAUUCUGAAGAGGAGCCCACACUACAGAACAGUGAUCAUAACUUACAGGAAGACAAAGAGGAUGGGACCACUAGAGAAACAAAUCUCAGGUUUCUCAGAAGAUGAACCAAAAACUGAAACAGAGACUAAAACCAAUGCAUAUGAAGAGUGCCCUUCUGGAAUUCCCUUAAAUGUGUGGAACAAAUUUCAAGAACUGCAUAAAAAACGUUCUGAACAGAAAAUUUCAGCCUCAAGAUUCAGAAGGAGAAAGAGAAAACACUCCAAAAAAGAUAAACUGCCGAAUGAAAAAGAGUCUCAGAGUCAGCAGUCCGUGAGUGAGACCCAAUGGAAGGAGCUUACUCAGUACUUUGGAGCCAAUGAUAGAUUUGAACCCCCUGUUAAAAAGAAAAAGGUUGAAAAGUCAGGCCUUGAGAAGAGGAUAGACCAGGCUGUGGAGGAGUGGGACGUGGAGAAGGCCGAGGAGCUUAGCAACCAGCUUGCUAGUGGCGAGCUUGGUGUAAAAAUUGCCAAAGCAAUUGCCUGCCACAAGUUUGUAAAAGCCAAAAAGGAGAUUGAAAACUCACAGGCUGCUCAAAAAAAGAAGAAAUUUGCGUGGGGGUUUGAAGCAAAGAAGAGAUGGGAAACCAAAAGCAACAUGGGAUAUAUGUAACUGGGCAGAACUCUUUAGGACACAGGGAGACUUGUGUGCUUCAUUUAUAGAAAAGACUUUUCUGUGUAGGUUAAAUAUAUCAGGAAAUUGAUAGAAGUAGAAAGAAAUAAGCAUAAAUCUUGGGAGUUAUCAGCUCUUCAGUUUUUUUCCUAAGGAUUUCAUUCUAUUGAAAUAACUGGAAUGAAGUAUUUGAUAUUUUGUAUAAAAUCUAAGCAUACAUACAGGCAAAGAAGAUAGGAUGUUAUUUAUUUGUACAGAUUUAUGGUAUAAAAUCAAUGUUGCCUUUUAUCUGUUUGGUAUAGCACAGCUGUGAUCCUUGUACUUUCUUAUCUGAUCUUGGCAUAACUGCACUUUCCUGGAAUUAAUGUUUUUAAGAUUAGUUUUUGUUUAAAAUGGAUUAGUCAUAGGUGCAAAAAUGUCUCAGUUGAUGUU